CUUCUCUUCCCCAGGCAGAACAAACUCUGCUCUUUCCUUUAUAACUCAGGUGUGGCAGCCCCCCAGCAAUCUCACUGAUGCUCCAACAAGAUCCCUUCAUUCAACAGGCUGCAAGUGAAAUUUCUGAUUCCUCCUCUGUCUCCAGCUGUAUCUUGAUGGCAGAAGUGAAACCAACCUUGCCUUCAGGUAGGGAAUUCCAUGGCCUGAAUGAGAGGUCUGUGUUUCAGAGGUGUGUUCCUCCAUCCUACCCCAGCUGGUGCCACUGCACCUCGUGCCUCAUUCGCUCCAGGCACAGCAGUCACACUGUGCUGAUUGAGCAGGGACCUGCCCAUGCCGACUGAAAAGUGACAGUCUCACCUCAAAGGGAAGAGUGAUGGAAAAUCUGACUGCAGAAGUUUCCAACCUCAGUUCCACCGUGCUUGGGAGCUGCUGCUAUGUUGAGGUAACAGAGAAGCUUUCAAUUUCCUGAGAAACUGUGAAAAUCAGAUCUUCAAAGGCAUCUUUCUGCCAUCACUACUGGAACCAAGUUUCACCCCAUGGCUUGAUUCUCCUGUCCAGGCUUUCAGUCUGGUACAGAAAAGUAUGAUCUAAAAUAAGUCAAGUGAUCCAAACUUC